CCAUCGCGGGGCUCCCACGUGGGCAAUGGACGGGGAGUAGGGCCCAAUGUGAGCUCUGGGCAGCAGCUGCUCCCAAGAGGAAAACAACGAGCAGCAAGACUGAGCCUGCCCAUCUCCUGCUCCAAAAGUCGCCAAUCAGGACGUGUAGCUCCAAGGCUGAUGUGGAAGGAGAGUGGAGAAUAGAGGUUCACAAACAUAUCCCAUUGGACAGCAUGUAGUCACACGGUCCCAUGUAACUGCAAGGACGUCUGGCAAUUGUAGUCUAUGAGCCUUCAAAGAGGGGAAAAAUGGGCAUUGGUGAGUUCCAGCAGAGUCCGCCACAGAAUGUAAGCUCACAUAAACAAGGUGAUGCCUCACUAGCCUUGAAGAAAGUUUUUUCAACAGGCACAAAUGUUUAAAGAAAUAAAGACCGCUGAAAUGGAGAUGAUGACCCACCACAUAAAAUCAUUAGUGGCACCAUACUUAGCACACAAUAGGGCUCAAUAAAUAUCUAUUAAACAAUUUA